GGAGAAUUACUCAAGAGGCUGAAGAGGACGGUUUGCUAAAUCGUUAGGUCGGAUAACUGGCGCGAGGGUUCGAAUCCCUCAUUCUCCG
rnacentral:tRNA from 2 species